rnacentral:rRNA from 1 species
GGACUACACGGGUUUCUAAUCCUGUUUGCUCCCCUAGCUUUCGUUCCUCAGCGUCAGUUGUGGUCCAGCGCGCCGCUUUCGCCACGGGUGUUCCUGCAGAUAUCUACGCAUUUCACCGCUACACCUGCAAUUCCACGCGCCUCUCCCACACUCGAGCACAGCAGUUUCGGAAGCAGCCUUUGAGUUAAGCCCAAAGAUUUCACUCCCGACUUGCCACACCGCCUACGAACCCUUUACACCCAGUAAUUCCGAACAACGCUGGCCCCCUACGUCUUACCGCGGCUGCUGGCAC